rnacentral:rRNA from 1 species
UUUUACCUGGUUUGAUCCUGCCAGUAGUCAUAUGCUUGUCUCAAAGAUUAAGCCAUGCAUGUCUAAGUACAGGCCGAAUUAAGGCGAAACCGCGAAUGGCUCAUUAAAUCAGUUAUGGUUCAUUGGAUCUUACCUUGUCCUACUUGGAUAACUGUGGUAAUUCUAGAGCUAAUACAUGCGAGCAAGCCCCGACCGGCGACGGGAAGGGCGCUUUUAUUAGAUCAAAACCAAUCGGGCUCUUCGGGGCCCGUACCCCAGUGGUGACUCUGAAUAACUUUGUGCUGAGCGCAUGGUCCUGGUACCGGCGCCGAAUCCUUCAAGUGUCUGCCUUAUCAGCUUUCGAUUGUAGGUUAUGCGCCUACAAUGGCUAUAACGGGUAACGGGGAAUCAGGGUUCGAUUCCGGAGAGGGAGCCUGAGAAACGGCUACCACAUCUAAGGAAGGCAGCAGGCACGCAAAUUACCCACUCCCGGCACGGGGAGGUAGUGACGAAAAACAACGAUGCGGGACUCAUCCGAGGCCUCGCAAUCGGAAUGAGUACACUUUAAAUCCUUUAACGAGGAUCUAUUGGAGGGCAAGUCUGGUGCCAGCAGCCGCGGUAAUUCCAGCUCCAAUAGCGUAUAUUAAAGUUGCUGCGGUUAAAAAGCUCGUAGUUGGAUUCGAGUCACGGAGCGAGGGUUCACCGCCCGGUGCUUACUCUCCGCCAUCCGGACGUUGAUGUCGGCGUGGCACGGGGUGCUCUUCACCGAGUGUCCCGGCGCCGCCGACGAGUUUACUUUGAAAAAAUUAGAGUGCUCAGAGCAGGCCGUUCCUGACGCGCCUGAAUAGUUGUGCAUGGAAUAAUGGAAUAGGACCUCGGUUCUAUUUUCCGUUGGUUUUCGGAACCCGAGGUAAUGACUAAUAGGAACAGUCGGGGGCAUUCGUAUUGCGACGUUAGAGGUGAAAUUCUUGGAUCGUCGCAAGACGAACUACUGCGAAAGCUUUUGCCAAGAAA